rfam:Caldisalinibacter kiritimatiensis strain L21-TH-D2 NODE_212, whole genome shotgun sequence.
UGGUUGGUAUCGUAAGAGCCAAACCAUUUAUUAAAAAUUUAAAAACUUAAUUCAUUUUUCGCUUAGCUUGGAUCCUUAAGGACCGAGACACAGAAAG